UACGGAGGGUGCAAGCGUUGUCCGGAAUUAUUGGGCGUAAAGCGCGCGCAGGCGGCCCCUUAAGUCUGAUGUGAAAGCCCCCGGCGCAACCGGGGAGGGCCAUUGGAAACUGGGAGGCUUGAGUAUAGGAGAGAAGAGUGGAAUUCCACGUGUAGCGGUGAAAUGCGUAGAGAUGUGGAGGAACACCAGUGGCGAAGGCGACUUUCUGGUCUGUAACUGACGCUGAGGCGCGAAAGCGUGGGGAGCAAACAGG
rnacentral:misc_RNA from 1 species